CACUGUCUUAUAAUAGCCUGUGCACUCAUUUCUGUGUAGAGGACAUGGGUCAUAUUUUCUGGGUUCUUCAGUAAUUUCUCUUCUAAUUUUUUUUAGCAAUGACAGUGUGCUACACUAUUUACAACCAUGUAAGCUCAUGAGCACAAGCUACAGUAAUGUAGGAUCAGGAAACACUGAAAUCUCAUUAUCUGAGGAGGAAAGGGACAUUUUCCUGGAAAAACUUUUGCCCAUAUGAGUAAUCAGGAAAGCAAACGUCAAAGAGUGUGUGAUUU